UACGUAGGGGGGCGAGCGUUGUCCGGAGUUACUGGGCGUAAAGCGCACGCAGGCGGUCUGCUAAGUUUGGAGUGACAGUUGGUGGCUUAACUGCCAAAGUGCUUCGAAAACUGACAGACUUGAGGGCUUCAGAGGGACACGGAAUUCCGGGUGUAGCGGUGGAAUGCGGUAGAGAUCCGGAAGAACACCGGUGGCGAAGGCGGCCCGCUGGGCAACUGCUGACACUGGAUGCGCGACAGCGUGGGGAGCAAACGAGG
rnacentral:rRNA from 1 species